AACACAGAAUGUAAAGAGGUAUCAGCUGCCAAACCUGCAGGAGGCAGGGGACGCAGGGGUUUCUCUGUACAGCCCUGCUCCAUCUAGUGUGAUUCUACUAUGCCAAGUGAUGGUGUAAAACCAGUAUCACGGGCUGCAUGCUUAUCGUCUCUGUUAUUCCAGACCAACAUGUUCAGCAAAUGUUCAAGUAAAGGUAUGAUUCUUCUAACUAUCAGCACUGCCAAUUCCCCCUGGCUAUGAUUACACAGCAAUUAAAUACCCACAGCUGGCCUGGGUCUUUUAUUCUGGUGUAGACAUACCCUGAGAGUCAAGCUGAAUUCUUUCUAGCUCAUACCCUUUCAUCAUUAAAGAUUCUGCAAGUCAAAUUCUGCCCUCAUUAAUUGUGGAAUCCCAGUGUCCUCAUGACAGGUUAGUGACAUGGUAAUGCCAGGUUAGUGACAUCUGUGCAACCCCAUUGCCUGUUGAAGAGUUGCACAAAUGGUAACUGAGGAUAAAGAUAAUGGGGUUGUACAAGUGAACAAUUGCAAUUGGAUGUUUGUUAACAAGUCUGCUAAGUAUGCGCAAGAUAGUAAUCUAAGCAAGGGUUUCACUAGAAAUAGUUGUGGUACUCCCACAGCUUCCACCCACAAACCAAGUUCCACCCAUUUGAAACACCAGAAUGAGUCCACUCACAGUUAAAUUUCCACAGUAUGAUCAUCCCUCUCUUUUCUUACAUGCAUUGAUCAAUAAUGAAAAAGCAAAGCACAUUGACACGUACGUAGUGAUCAUCACUAGAUUUCAGAAUUAACAGGUCACUGAAAUGAAUAGGAGCAACUCAUAUCUCUCUAACAGCGGCUGCUUUUAGAGUUCUACAGACUCAGUUCACAUUUUAAAGGAUAUCUGCAACUACAACUGGAUUUAUAAUUGAUUUUUCAGUUUACUGGCCAUUCUGAAAAAUCAACACUAACUUUUGUUUCAGGGUUGACCAGAAUUUAAUUUUUAAUUUUUUUUUAAUUAACCGAUGAAAAAAUAAUCUGCUUUGUAUUGAAUGAAGCAUUAAGUUCCACUCAGUUUUUAAAAAAAGUUUAAUAAAAUUGAAGUAAAUUUGAAAAUGAAAAGUCAUAUAAAAUUGAAAAAUCAAAACUUUGCAUUUAAAAAAUGUCAAAACAAAACGUUUCAAUUUUUUUUAAUUUCAACUGAAAGAACUUGGAGAAUUCAAAAUGAAUUCGUGAAAUAUUUUUGUCAACCCCAAGCUGCAUUUUUUGGG